rnacentral:rRNA from 1 species
GCGCACCAGGCGCGAAACUUCACACUGUGCGAAAGCACGAUGAGGGAAUCCCAAGUGCUUGCACGUAAGCGUAAGCUGUUUCUCUGUCUAAAACGCAGAGAGAGUAAGGGCUGGGUAAGACGGGUGCCAGCCGCCGCGGUAAUACCUGCAGCUCAAGUGGUGACCGUUAUUAUUGGGCCUAAAACGUCCGUGGCCGGUUUAAUAAAUGCCUGGGUAAAUUGUGUAGCUUAACUAUACGAAUUCCGGGUAGACUGUUAAACUUGAGACCGGGAGAAGUUAGAGGUACUCCUGGGGUAGAGGUGAAAUUCUGUAAUCCUAGGGGGACCACCAGUGGCGAAGGCGUCUAACUAGAACGGGUCUGACGGUGAGGGACGAAGCCCUGGGGCGC